rnacentral:lncRNA from 13 species
GCUCCUUCAAAACCAGUCUAUUCUGUGGGUCCCCGUGGACUUUUUUAAUGAAUCCCCAAAAUGAAUGGCAAUGCAUGCGCCUCCUGGGAUCACCUGGCUCCUGAGGACCUUUGAUGCAACUACUUGGUUGCAGGUUGAGCUCAAGGAGAAGAUUACAGAUGUAACUCAGCAUGGACGCUCCCCUAAGAAGCCAUCCCUGACAGAACCCAAUGCCUUGAGGUCAUCCCUUCUUCCUUGUAUUACCUUGCACCCUGUAUACACUUUAAUCAUUGCUCUUAUCACGCUGAAGUGUCAUUAUUUACACACUUGUGCUUUUUUCUGCCAGAUUAUGAAUUCCAUGAAAAAAGAGAUUGUGCUUUCUGCAUCUCUAGCCAAGCAUCUGCCACAUGAUCUGGUAUACCUCUGCAGGUUUGUUACAUGGAUAUAUGGCAUGAUUCUGAGAUUUGGAAUGUGAUGGAUCCCAUCAUCCAGGUAUGAGCAUAGUAUCUAAUAGUUUUUCAACCCUUGACCUUCUCUCUCCCUCCCUCCUGUAGUAGUUCCCAGUGUCUAUUGUUGCCAUCUUUAUGUCUAUAAAUGCCCAAUGUUUAGCUCCCACUUAUUUUAUUUUUUGAGAUGGAGUUUUGCUCUUGUUGCCCAGCCUGGAGUGCAAUGGCAUAAUCUUGGCUCACUGCAACCUCCACCUCCUAAGUUCAAGUGAUUCUCUGCCUCAGCCUCCCAAGUAGCUGGAAUUGCAGGCAUGCACCACCAUGUCUGGCUAAUUUCAUAUUUUUAGUAGAGACAGGGUUUCUCCAUAUUGGUCAGGCUGGUCUCAAACUCCCAACCUAUGGUGAUAAGUCCACCUUGGCCUCCCAAAGUACUGGGAUUACAGGUGUGAGCCACCACGCCCAGCCUAGCUCCCACUUAGAAGUGAGAACAUGCAGUAUUUGGUUUUCUAUCCCUGCAUUAAUUUGCUUAGUAUAAUGGCCUCUAGCAGCAUUAUGUUGCUGCAAAGAAUAUGAUUUUGUUCUUUUUUAUGGUUGCGUGUAUUAUAUUCUUAUGCACACAAUUCAGAUGAAAUCUGAUUAAUA